rnacentral:rRNA from 1 species
CCUACGGGAGGCAGCAGUGAGGAAUAUUGGUCAAUGGACGAGAGUCUGAACCAGCCAAGUAGCGUGAAGGAUGACUGCCCUAUGGGUUGUAAACUUCUUUUAUAUGGGAAUAAAAUGUUCCACGUGUGGGAUUUUGUAUGUACCAUAUGAAUAAGGAUCGGCUAACUCCGGUCCAGCAGCGGCGGUAAUACGGGGGAUCCGAGCGUUUCCGGAUUUAUUGGGUCUAAAGGGAGCGUAGGUGGAUUGUUAAGUCAGGUGUGAAAGUUUGCGGCUCAACCGUAAAAUUGCAGUUGAAACUGGCAGUCUGGAGUGCAGGAGAGGUGAGCGGAAUUCGUGGUGUAGCGGUGAAAUGCGUAGAUAUCACGAAGAACUCCGAUUGCGAAGGCAGCUAACUGGACUGCAACUGACACUGAGGCGCGAAAGUGUGGGUAUCAAACAGGAUUAGAUACCCUUGUAGUC